rnacentral:rRNA from 1 species
GAUGAACGCUGGCGGUAUGCUUAACACAUGCAAGUCGAACGGACACUUUCGGGUGUUAGUGGCGGACGGGUGAGUAACGCGUGAGAAUCUGCCUUUAGGUUCGGGACAACCAUUGGAAACGAUGGCUAAUACCGGAUAUGCAGCGAUGUGAAAGAUAUAUUGCCUAAAGAUGAGCUCGCGUCUGAUUAGCUAGUUGGUGGGGUAAAGGCCUACCAAGGCGACGAUCAGUAACUGGUCUGAGAGGAUGAUCAGUCACACUGGAACUGAGACACGGUCCAGACUCCUACGGGAGGCAGCAGUGGGGAAUUUUCCGCAAUGGGCGAAAGCCUGACGGAGCAAUACCGCGUGAGGGAGGAAGGCUCUUGGGUUGUAAACCUCUUUUCUUAGGGAAGAACAAAAUGACGGUACCUAAGGAAUAAGCAUCGGCUAACUCCGUGCCAGCAGCCGCGGUAAUACGGAGGAUGCAAGCGUUAUCCGGAAUGAUUGGGCGUAAAGCGUCCGCAGGUGGUUUUGUAAGUCUAUUGUUAAAGCGUCUGGCUCAACCAGAUAAUGGCGGUGGAAACUACAAGACUAGAGUCCGUUCGGGGCAGAGGGAAUUCCUGGUGUAGCGGUGAAAUGCGUAGAGAUCAGGAAGAACACCGGUGGCGAAAGCGCUCUGCUAGGCCGGAACUGACACUGAGGGACGAAAGCUAGGGGAGCGAAUGGGAUUAGAUACCCCAGUAGUCCUAGCCGUAAACGAUGGAUACUAGGCGUG